rnacentral:lncRNA from 1 species
UGAAUGGUGUGGUGAGAAGGCCUCUUCCAGGUUUAAGAGGAAAAGAGAAUGGGAGAAGGAACUGCCUUGUGGGUAACAUUUUAAACAAAAGGCAGACGAGAAAGAAGUCUUGGAGUUGCAGAAAUAGCAAGGUUUUGGCCUUUGUAUUACUUCCCUGAAGUGUAAUGAAUGACCAAACCUUAAUUUACAUUUAAAAAAAUUGCUGCUGGAUAAAAGAAGGUAGUUAAAGGGCUGUUGCUAAGGCCAUGAGAGAUGACAGUGGUGGAAACAUGGAAAUUAAGAGAAUUGAUUCAUAAUGUAUUUGGGAGCUUGAGCAUUCCAGACUGAAUGCUGAACUGGAUACGAAAUGUAUGGGAGAAUGUGAAACCAAAGAUGUUUCUCUAGAGAAAACAGUUUGGGAAGGAAUCUCCUAUGCUCUCUGGAACGUAUGUCCAGAGUCAUUUUACAGCCCAUGAAGAUGUCCAGAAAUGAGACGGACAAGCUGGAAGACAAGUCAUGGUUGGAGAUAAUAAAUGUGGGGUUUAUUCCUAGACCCUGGAAUAGGUAGUAGAUGAGAAAGAGCCCCAAAUUCUUUAGAUCUCACAUUUAGAGACCACCAAGAAGGGUACAAGCCAGUAGGAAGCUCAAUAAGAACACCUCAAAAAUAAGGAGUCCCCCUUAAUAUCGUUAAACAAUAGUAUCCACCCUCACAAUCAGUGAGAGUCACCUUUUGAGGGCCUCAAAUCUCUUCCUGCUCUCCCAGCUGUCAAAGCUUUUGGACUUGGUGUACAAGAAUGUGUGUGCACUCCUGAUUUCCUUGAUAAAUGUUGGUUUACAUGAGCCCAUUGGGAUCUAUUUUGUCAUAUCUUCGUAGGAACACCUUAUACGAUACCAGCCCUGGAAUUCUUGUUUGGUUUGUUGUGUGAUUGUGCAUGUUUUCUUUCUCAUGUGUUAUAGACCGAGCUAGCCUCAAACUCAAGAGAUCCACCUGUCUCUGCCUCCCUGUCUGGAGGGCUGGAAUUAAAAGGUGUGCACGACCACACCCAUCUCAGCCUUGGAAUUCUUACAAAAGGAGUUUUGUCCCUGCUGCUACCGAUGCCACUCACAUAGUGAAUCUCAAUGAAAAGGGUAUCUGAAGGGCUGGGUUUCAUUCUUGGAUCUGCUGGGUGGCCUUGGAAAAGGUCCUGUUCUUCGAAUUGAUAGGGUUGGCCUAGAUUAAAAGUUGCAAGCUGGCAAGACAGAUAAUGCCUGCAAGCAUAGUGUUCAGCCCGCAGCAUGAUUUAAAUUCUUCUUUCUUAGACUAUGCUUGCCAGUUUUUAAAAAUUGAACAUCAGAAUCCAGAUUUUUGGCUUCAUUAGGAAAAUCGGACAGUCUGGCAACACCAGUCUGAGGUUCCUAGAAUCCUACACAGCUGAAACUGCAGAGUUGCUUAUCCUUUGUUUGUGGCUUAUGCCCCAAGUGAGCCAUAAGCAUCUCCCCUCACACCCACUCCCAAGCUGACAUUUGAUUUGUAAUUGACCUGAGAACCUUGCUGUCUGUAUGUAGCUACUUAACACAUGUGACUAAGUUUAAAUAACAGUUCUUAGACACAUAUUCCAGAUGUUCAGUAGCUGCAUGUGGCUGGUCUCUGCCCUGUUGGGUAAAUCAGACAGAAGAGUUUUACCAUAAACUGUUCUUUUGUUCAAUGUUGGAUUGAAACAC